rnacentral:rRNA from 1 species
AAAGCAUAGGGCGGAUGCCUUGGCACUAAGAACCGAUGAAGGACGUGGUAAGCUGCGAAAAGCUUUGGGGAGCCGCAAGCAGGCGUUGAUCCAGAGAUAUCCGAAUGGGGAAACCCACAUACGGCAAACCGUAUGUAUCCUAUGGUGAAUACAUAGCCAUAGGAAGGGAACCCGGUGAACUGAAACAUCUAAGUAGCCGGAGGAGGAGAAAGAAAAAUCGAUUCCCUGAGUAGCGGCGAGCGAAAGGGGAACAGGCCAAACCAGACUGGCUUUGCUAGUCUGGGGUUGCGGACCGAUAUAAGGGUACAAGUUGAUAGCUGAACACCGCUGGGAAGCGGGACCAUAGAAGGUGACAGUCCUGUAAGCGAAAUUAACGAAUAUCUGAUCGGUAUCCAGAGUACCAUGGGACACGUGAAACCCUGUGGGAAGCCGGGAGGACCAUCUCCCAAGCCUAAAUAUUCCUUAGUGACCGAUAGCGCAUAGUACCGUGAGGGAAAGGUGAAAAGAACCCCGGAAGGGGAGUGAAAUAGAACCUGAAACCCUAUGUUUACAAUUGGUCGAAGCACGUUAAAGUGCGACGGCGUACUUUUUGUAGAACGGGCCAACGAGUUAAGGUGUGCAGCAAGGUUAAGGACUUCAGGUCCGGAGCCGAAGCGAAAGCAAGUCUGAAUAGGGCGAAUUAGUUGUAUGCUUUAGACCCGAAACCGGGUGACCUAUCCAUGAGCAGGUUGAAGCGGGAGUAAAAUCUCGUGGAGGACCGAACCCAUAUACGUUGAAAAGUGUUGGGAUGACUUGUGGAUAGCGGUGAAAUUCCAAUCGAACUCGGAGAUAGCUGGUUCUCCCCGAAAUAGCUUUAGGGCUAGCCUCAAGGAGAGUAUCGCGGAGGUAGAGCACUGACUGACCUAGGGGCGUUUAUACGUUACCAAAGUUUAUCAAACUCCGAAUGCCGCAGAUAUAUACUUGGGAGUCAGACUGUGUGAGAUAAGUUUCAUAGUCGAAAGGGAAACAGCCCAGACCGUCAGCUAAGGUCCCAAAAUAUUAGUUAAGUGGGAAAGGAUGUUGGACUACACAGACAACCAGGAUGUUGGCUCAGAAGCAGCCAUUCAUUCAAAGAGUGCGUAAUAGCUCACUGGUCGAGUGGUUCAGCGCCGAAAAUGUCCGGGGCUCAAACUAAUUACCGAAGCUACGGCUUGUAUCUUUUAGAUGCAGGGGUAGGGGAGCAUUGUAUGCGGGACGAAGUCGUACCGGAAGGAGCGGUGGACUGCAUACAAGAGAGAAUGUUGGCAUGAGUAACGAAAGCGAAGUGAGAAUCUUCGCCAUCGGAAGCCUAAGGUUUCCUGAGGAAGGCUCGUCCGCUCAGGGUUAGUCGGGACCUAAGCCGAGGCCGAAAGGCGUAGGCGAUGGACAACUGGUUGAUAUUCCAGUACCACCUUAGAUUGUUUGAGAGAUGUAGUGACACAGAAGGGUAGGCAGAGCACACUGUUGGUUAUGUGUGUCUAAGCAGGUAGGCUAGUGCGCAGGCAAAUCCACGCACUGUUAGGCCGAGACGCGAAUGCGAGGGAAAUUUAGUACCGAAGUCGCUGAUCCCACGCUGUCGAGAAAAGCUACUAUUGAGAGAUAAGGUGCCCGUACCGUAAACCGACACAGGUAGGCAGGAAGAGAAUUCUAAGAUGAUCGAGAGAACCAUUGCUAAGGAACUCGGCAAAAUGACCCCGUAACUUCGGGAGAAGGGGUGCCCUUGAGAGUGAAGUCAUACGACGUAAGCUUUUGGGGGCCGCAGAGAAAAGGCCCAAGCGACUGUUUAGCAAAAACACAGGUCUCUGCUAAGUUGAAAGACGAAGUAUAGGGGCUGACGCCUGCCCGGUGCUGGAAGGUUAAGGGGAAGUGUUAGCGGUAACGCGAAGCACAGAACUUAAGCCCCAGUAAACGGCGGCCGUAACUAUAACGGUCCUAAGGUAGCGAAAUUCCUUGUCGGGUAAGUUCCGACCCGCACGAAAGGCGUAACGAUUUGGGCGCUGUCUCGGCAAUGGACUCGGUGAAAUUACAGUACUCGUGAAGAUGCGGGUUACCCGCGGCAGGACGGAAAGACCCCGUGGAGCUUUACUGCAAGCUGGCAUUGGAUUUUGGUAUAAUAUGUACAGGAUAGGUGGGAGACUUGGAAGCCGGAACGCCAGUUUCGGUGGAGUCGCCCUUUGGAUACCACCCUUAUUAUACUAGGAUUCUAACCAUAGGCCAUGAAUCUGGU